UUUUAAAAAUAUGAUCAAUUUGUUUGUGUGAUGGUAAGUUUAUUUGCAAUCUUGCAUGUAAUAUUAAUAUUGUAAAUGAUUAUUUGGUAAAUGUAAAUGAUAUAUGUUUUUAUUAUAAAAUGUUUAUUUUUCGUUACAACUCAAUGAAGAAAAUUAUGCUAGUAAUGUUGCUACUGGGUAUCUUUUUGCAUAUAGUUUAUUAACGGUAACAAAAAUGAAAUGUUACUGGGAUUGCAAUACUUUGGUAACGAUAACAACAAUCAAAUGAUACUGGAAAUGCAUUUAGUUGGUAAAUAUAACAACGAUUUAAUGUUACUGGAAAUGCAAAUAGCUUGGUAAUGAUACCAGCAAUCCAGUUGUUGUUACUGGAAAUGCAUAUAGCUUGGUAAUGAUACCAGCAAUCCAGUUGUUGUUAUUGGAAAUGCAUAUAGCUUGGUAAUGAUACCAGCAAUCCAGUUGUUGUUAUUGGAAAUGCAUAUAGCUUGGUAAUGAUACCAGCAAUCCAGUUGUUGUUAUUGGAAAUGCAUAUAGCUUGGUAAUGAUACCAGCAAUCCAGUUGUUGUUAUUGGAAAUGCAUAUAGCUUGGUAAUGAUACCAGCAAUCCAGUUGUUGUUAUUGGAAAUGCAUAUAGCUUGGUAAUGAUACCAGCAAUCCAGUUGUUGUUAUUAGAAAUGCAUAUAGCUUGGUGAAGUUAUGUAACACCGGAUAGAUGGUUAUCAAAUCUAUGCUGGCAAUUGUCGUCACUAAUACAUUGAAUUUGUCUAUGAUAACGCUUAAUGUCUCAAGUUUUACGCCUAAAUCUCUUAACAUAACGAAAACGCAAUGUAAACAAACAACAUUUUCAUGUUUAAUGAAUAAAGUGUAACAAACACGAAUGAA